UACGUAGGGCGCAAGCGUUGUCCGGAUUUAUUGGGCGUAAAGAGCUCGUAGGCGGUUUGUCGCGUCUGCUGUGAAAACCUAAGGCUCAACCUUGGGCUUGCAGUGGGUACGGGCAGACUAGAGUGCGGUAGGGGUGACUGGAAUUCCUGGCGUAGCGGUGGAAUGCGCAGAUAUCAGGAAGAACACCCGUGGCGAAAGCGGCUCUCUGGAACGGUACUGACGCUGAGACGCGAAAGCGUGGGGAGCGAACAGG
rnacentral:rRNA from 1 species